CUUGUGGAGCUGGUAAUCCUUCUCAAAAGUCUGUAACAACUGUUGGGUUCUGGUGAUGCAGCAAAAUAUGAAUUUUAAAAAUUUUAACAUGUAUUCAAUAUUUGAAAAUAAUGUUUAACAAUUAAACAAGACCAUCGGAACACAAAAUCUUAGGAACCCCUUGGUGAUUACAAUCAAACAUCAAAAAUAUACAUAUCAAGAGA
rnacentral:lncRNA from 1 species